CCAGAUUGAUGAAUUUUUUCAGCCAUGGUGUCUCAGGAAAGACAGAGAAGGACUAAAAUCUAUGUCACUUCGGGGAGGUCCACUGUCAAAAUUUCAGGUCCUUGAAGUGAAAGCUCUGAAGGCACUUUUUGUGUGGGGCUCCAGAGGGCAACAUUAGGUUUAUAAAUUAAGAAACAGAAGCAACUUACAAGAUCAUCCAGUCUAGCCCCUCAUUUUACAGAUGAAGAAACUGAGGCCCAGAGAAGUUGAACGCCCAAGAAUAAGUUUUAAAGACUAGGAUUUAUGCCCAGAUCAUCUGACUCCAAGUGUAGCCCUCUUCCUGCUUCUUAUGUGCCUAAGGUCACAUAAUUAAUAAGUGGCAGAGAAAGAAUUUCAAACCAGAUCUUCUAACUUGAAGUCUAGACAAUCAGCAAAGUUCUGGACCAAGUCCUGAUUUCAAGCAUGUGCCCAUUUGCCAGGUGUAAAUAUUCACAAGGAAAAUGUAACAACUAACUGACUGAGCUGCCUCCAGCACAUCCCUGGCUGCGUGCAAGGAAAGGCAGCCAUGACUACAUCACCACCCAAGAUCAAACCCAUCAAGAGGAAAUGCCAUGUUAACCUCAAAACAAAGAGGAAGAUGGGCAACAAAUAACUUUCUCAGGAU